CCAGAGGGAUCGACAAUGAAGCAGCAAUCCAAGGACCCAUUCGAAGCGGCGUUCGAGGAGCAAGAAGACGACUCACCGCCCGAUUCUCCGGCCGUCGCUGAAGCCGCGCGCGCCGCCUUUGGUGCCCUAGAAGAGGACGACCCUCUUCUUGUUCCUGGCCCGUCAUCUUCGUCCGCGCCAUCAGCUGCAGCGCCGAAAGCAACAGCAGUUACCAGAACAAGAACAACGCCAACUUCUGCUGCGACGGCGCCCUCCGCCUCUGCUCGGCCCGCUGUCAAGAACAAGGAUGACGACGACGAUGACGACGAAGACAACAUGGAUGUCGAGCUCGGAAAGUUCUCCGCCACCGGUGAUCCUGACAAAAUGGCCAAGAUGCAGGCUAUUUUAUCGCAGUUCUCAGAGGAACAGAUGAGUAGGUACGAGUCGUUUCGCAGAGCUGGAUUUCAGAGGGCCAACAUGAAAAGGUUGUUAACUAGCAUUAGUGGAACUCCAAAAAUAUCUGCGCCAAUGAAUAUUGUAGUGUCAGGGAUAGCAAAGAUGUUUGUUGGUGAACUUGUUGAGACAGCCAGAAUAGUGAUGUCGGAGAGGAAAGAGUCUGGGCCAAUCAGGCCAUGCCACCUUAGAGAAGCAUACAGAAGGUUGAAGCUUGAAGGGAAGAUACCAAAGAGAUCACCGUCUAGGCUCUUCCGGUAGAAUGACCAAUUUCACGUUCUGGUGCUCAUUGGACAGCAUACUGAAGAUAGGAAGUCCUUUCUCAUGUUGCUUUUCGCAACCCCAAACAUGGUCGACAUAUCUGUAAGUUGGAGCUGGGAGACAAUACCAUACGAUUAAAGACCAGAUGUAUUGCACUUCAUCAUCACUUGUGGUAGUUUCUUCCUCUUCGAUCGCGUUUUUUGGGAGACAAUGAAGGUGCGAUUUAAAUCACAAUAACGAUGAUGUUGCCAGCUUCGUUUGUUGUUGCCGUUUUGACUUGUGACCCAUAACACUUAUGCUAGUAAUUUGCCGUCCGUGCUAUGUUGGUACAUAUUUUUUCUCGCAACCAAGCGACUGAUUGGAUGUAUUAUAAGAUAUUGGACCUGUGUAGUCAUUGUAAUUUGUGCCGUUCAGUUGCUGAUACAUUAAAAUAUUUUGCAUGUGGAUGAAUGAGUUUAUAAAGAUACUGAAUGUCACUGGGUCGGGUCGAAAAUAUAUGACUUGGAAUUCAUUGGUUA